AAAAGAGGAGCUCAGAUCCGCCGCGCGUCGGUGAAAGAAUCGACAACCAGAAAAGCAGUCCCCGUUACCGAUAAGGCGUUGUUUGGUUACUAUGGAUUAAACUUUAGUCCAUCCAUAUUGACCCCUUUUAGUCCUUAAAGUGCUAAACAUGUGGACUAAAAUGUGGACUAAACCCUUUAGUCCUCUAGUCCAAGUGGGGUAGAUUAAAGUAGACUAAAAGUACUGGAAAAC
rnacentral:lncRNA from 1 species